UACGUAAGGGGCAAGCGUUGUCCGGAUUUAUUGGGCGUAAAGAGCGUGUAGGCGGCCUGACAGGUCUGCUGUGAAAACUCGAGGCUCAACCUCGAGAUGUCGGCGGAAACCGUCUGGCUAGAGUCCGGAAGAGGAGAGUGGAAUUCCUGGUGUAGCGGUGAAAUGCGCAGAUAUCAGGAAGAACACCUAUGGCGAAGGCAGCUCUCUGGGACGGUACUGACGCUGAGACGCGAAAGCGUGGGGAGCGAACAGG
rnacentral:rRNA from 1 species